ensembl:lncRNA
CAGGAUUCUAAGACUCUUCUCCCCCUCCCCCUCCUUCUCCUCCUUCUCCUCCUUCCUUCUCCCUCUCCCUCUCUCUCUCCCUCUCCCUCUCCCCCUUCUCCUUCUCCUUCUCCUUCUCCUUCUCCUUCUCCUUCUCCUUCUCCUUCUUUCUACUCUCUCCUCCUUCUCCUUGUCCUCCUUCCUCCCUUCCCCUUCCCUUUCUUUCUUCUCUCUCCUUCUCCUUCAAGAAAUGGACCCCCUAACGUUUAUAAACAUUUUGAUGGGAUUUGCAAGAUUCUGGAGAAAUAUGUAACCAAAUUACAUGAAUUGGAUAAAACCAAAGGGACCAUCAGUUCCAAUCUACCCCUCAAUAAGAAUUCGCAAUAUGACAUAAUUGCCAACUGUCAUCUGUAUUUUUGCUUGAAGACUGCCUUUGUAGAGACAUCCAACUUUCUCGGCAGACUAUCCCCCUUUAGAAUACAUCUAAUUGUUCAGUUUGUUUGUUUUGAUUUACAAAAAGCCUUCUCUUUUUGACUUCCUGAUUAAAUUUGUUCAGCUAUUUGAGAUGUUAUAAAUGUUUCUUACAUUUACUAUUUAAGUGAAAUAAUAUUGCAAUAUAUGUGAACCUAUUUUUUCAGUCACUGUUUUUCACCACUUAUAAUUAAUUAAGUUCAAUAAUUUUCAUUAAAUAUAUAAGAUGUGUAGUGCAUUGUAUGAGAUAAUUGGGAUAAACAGAUGAAAAAGUAACUAGGCCAUCCCUGACUUUCAGUGUGGUGGAGCAAACAGAACACUGGUUCUAGGGUCAGAGGGUGCAAAUCCAGCCACUUAUCCUUACUACCUGUGUGACCUCAAACAAUUCAUUUCAUCCCCUUGAGCCUCAGUUUCCUCAUUUGUAAAAAAAGAAUAAGAUUAGAUUGCUUUUGUUAUCCCUUCAACCUCUAGAAUUAUGAUCUCAUGAUGUUUCAUUCUAUUAGUGAGAAAAGAAACAUAAACUAAGCAAAACUGCAAUAUGUCUAUAGGAGAGGUCAUAAGAUAAGGAAAAGGAUAAGAUGAUCACUUCAAGGUGGGAGGAUCAGGAAGAGAACCAAAGAAGAAGAAGUGAUGUGAAGGAGAGAGUCUUUUCCCAGUAAGGGAACUACAUGGAUAAAUGUGCACAACUGGGAAAGAGUAAGAUGACAAAGAUAAUAGUUGUUUGAUUGGAAUUGAGCAAUAAUGUGAAACAAAGAUGGGCUGAUUAUUUAGAGGUAGAUAGGGAAAUAGGGGGCAACUAACCUUUAAUAAAUAGCCCCCUGCCAAGGAAAUAUCUUCA